UACGAGGGGGGCGAGCGUUGUCCGGAUUUACUGGGCGUAAAGCGCGCGUAGGCGGCUCGUUAAGUGUGAAGUGAAAUCCCUGGGCUCAACUCAGGAACUGCUUUACAUACUGGCGAGCUUGAGGGAUGCAGAGGUCUGUGGAAUUCCUGGUGUAACGGUGAAAUGUGUUGAUAUCAGGAGGAACACCCAUGGCGAAGGCAGCAGACUGGGCAUCGCCUGACGCUGAGGUGCGAAAGCGUGGGUAGCAAACAGG
rnacentral:rRNA from 1 species